AUUGAACGCUGGCGGCAGGCCUAACACAUGCAAGUCGAGCGGAUGAAGGGAGCUUGCUCCUGGAUUCAGCGGCGGACGGGUGAGUAAUGCCUAGGAAUCUGCCUGGUAGUGGGGGAUAACGUCCGGAAACGGGCGCUAAUACCGCAUACGUCCUGAGGGAGAAAGUGGGGGAUCUUCGGACCUCACGCUAUCAGAUGAGCCUAGGUCGGAUUAGCUAGUUGGUGGGGUAAAGGCCUACCAAGGCGACGAUCCGUAACUGGUCUGAGAGGAUGAUCAGUCACACUGGAACGGAGACACGGUCCAGACUCCUACGGGAGGCAGCAGUGGGGAAUAUUGGACAGUGGGCGAAAGCCUGAUCCAGCCAUGCCGCGUGUGUGAAGAAGGUCUUCGGAUUGUAAAGCACUUUAAGUUGGGAGGAAGGGCAGUAAGUUAAUACCUUGCUGUUUUGACGUUACCAACAGAAUAAGCACCGGCUAACUUCGUG
rnacentral:rRNA from 1 species